UGAUUGAGCCGCGCCAAUA
rnacentral:siRNA from 1 species